rnacentral:tRNA from 1 species
AGAGAUUUAGGAUAGUACCUAGACCAAAAGCCUUCAAAGCUUUAAGCAGGAGUGAAAAUCUCCUAAUCUCUG